GACUAUGGCCACACUAUCCUUAAUGUAUGUGAUCUUCUUCGAUCUCAGAAGGUAAGCAGGGUCGGGCCUGGUUAGUACUUGGGUAGGAGAAUAUAAAAACAAGAUGGUCAUUUUAA
rnacentral:rRNA from 1 species